UACGUAGGGUCCAAGCGUUAUCCGGAAUCACUGGGCGUAAAGCGUGCGUAGGUGGCGCGUUAAGUGAGAUGUUAAAUCGUGGGGCUCAACCCUGUCGUUGCAUCUCAUACUGGCGUGCUAGAGGACAGCAGAGGCAAGUGGAAUUAGCAGUGUAGCAGUGAAAUGCGUAGAUAUUGCUAGGAACACCUAUGGCGAAGGCAGCUUGCUGGGCUACUCCUGACACUGAUGUACGAAAGCGUGGGGAGCGAACAGG
rnacentral:rRNA from 1 species